UACAGAGGUCCCGAGCGUUGUUCGGAUUCAUUGGGCGUAAAGGGUGCGUAGGUGGCGCUGUAAGUCGGGUGUGAAAUUUCGGAGCUUAACUCCGAAACUGCAUUUGAUACUGCGGUGCUUGAGGACUGGAGAGGAGACUGGAAUUCAUGGUGUAGCAGUGAAAUGCGUAGAGAUCAUGAGGAAGACCAGUGGCGAAGGCGGGUCUCUGGACAGUUCCUGACACUGAGGCACGAAGGCCAGGGGAGCAAACGGG
rnacentral:rRNA from 1 species